AACACUGACUGUCUUUUCCUAUCUUAAUAGUGUUUUUGGUGGUUUGUAUGUUGGUACCAGGGUGCCCAUAUCAUUGUGACUCUUGAAGAUGGCAUUUGUGGCUGGGUCUUCACAAGGGAAACAAUAUACCCUUGUCUUGAGGAUAUCCCAGACUCACAGGUGGACGGGAUUCCAUGUGCUGAUCCUGGAAGGUAUUGUCCCUGUUAUAAAUGGAGGAACAGUGACAGGAAAGAUGGCUACCUUUAGGAGCCGUGAUUGACAGUUUUAAGUGUCUUGGAGCAACUGCUGUGAAAUGAAGCCAGGUUAGUCAUCAUGUAGUUGCCAUAAAUAGCUUCAGACAAAUUUCUUUGUAGUUUUUCUCCUGUCAUUUUUCUUCACUGUAACUCUAUUUGUACACCAGAAUGGUUGAGAUUUAUUUAAAAGAAGAAACUUAACGGAAUCUACAUUUCAGUAAGUUAUUCUAUGCAUGUUGUAGAAAAUGUUUACAUUAUGAGAAUAUUAGGAAUAUUUCUGAAUAAAAUAACAGCUCCAACUGAAAGAAUAUACUGCACAAUUCCAAACUUACAUUUUUGAAUCAUGAUUUGGUAGCCUUUUUAUUCUGUUAUUUUUCUUAAUAAAUUGCUCCAUUUUUUGAAGCUGCAAUGGGCAAGUAACAAUACAUACCAUAGAAGAAACAAAUCAGAAGCUACCUCAGCACAUCAGCCAAAUGCAGAGCUGCAGCAGAAUGGCUGAGAUUAGCUCUGUGUUGGUGUAAUAUCGAUGCUGUGCCACAUGCCAGCAGCAGAAGGGAGACUUGAAGGUUUGCUUCCUCACCCGUGCUGGAAAGACUGAGCUGUCUGGCAAGGAAUAACUCCAUCUGUGUGGUUGCAAAUAUGGGAGACAGGAAACCAUGCAAUUCCAGUGAUCCGAGGUGACCAAGUGAUGGCCACUAUCAGUACAAUACCAAUAUUAUCUUUGACUCAGAAAGGAAACCUGAUGGCUUGUUAUCACAAGUACAACCUUUUUAUGACAGAGAAACAGUUUAAUUACUCUAAGGAUCCAGGAUUUGUGACUUUCAAUACAUCCUUUGGCUACUUUGGCAUUUUCGCUUGCACAGGCAUACUCUGUCAUGACCCAGCUGUGGUCUUGGCAAGCAGCUUUCAGGCUGACACCAUUCUGUUCCCAACUGCUUGGAUUAACACUCUUCCACUGUUGUCAGCAGUCCAGUUUCACUCAGCGUGGGCCAUGGGAACAAACAUUAACUUUCUUCAGCGAAUACGCACAACUCCACUUUAGGUAUGAUAGGUAAUGUGAUAUUGCUUUAAUUGGUCUUGUUCACAUGGGCAACAUUUAUAUCUGUGUAGUGCAGUUGACCCGAGUAGAAAUUCCUAUCAGCAGGCAUACACACAUGUCAAUAGGAUUAGGACAGGAGUACUUGUAAAGAUAUAAAGGAUUUAAAAAUAUGCUAUGUCAGAACUCAGAAAUGCUUAAGUUGACUAUAACACUUUUAGUUAUUUGUUAAAUAAUGAGUCCUGAGAGUUUAUGAGUGUUGUUCUUCAUCGUCUGACCCUGGUGUUUAUCAUUGUUUUGGUCACGUGAAAGCCCAAACUUUGUUUCCUCCACUAGGUGGAAACCUGACUCUGAGAAACGUUCUUGUGAGUCCUGUAAAUAGUACUUCUGGGCUGGAGACGUUGUGUCACGUUUUCUUUGCAGACUUUGUUUUCAUUAUUUUUCCUAAGCAGAUGCUAGGCGUCAAGCACAAAUUUUGUGUGCGUGUGCUUGCAGAAUUGAGAGAAACUUCCUGCUACAACGUAGCUCUAAACUUUGCCGUCCAAAUAAAAGCAGAUCCGAGCCAUUCGGUUAGUUCUGUUGUUGAUAACCCAAUGUCACACAACUCUUAUUCCUUAUGGAUAGGUUUUCCUCUGGGUAUUAAAGAUUUCUGUAUUUAUGUAAAGCACUUGAAUAAGGAUGUGAAUUUUGGUAAUAUCUUUUAUAUACAGAACUUUUUGAUUUGACAGUGUUACCACUUAUUUUAGUCAGAAUUAGUGAUUUCUAAUGCAAUUAAACUCAAGGAAGAAUGUAUAGCUUCAGCCACUCAAAUUGUAUAUAAUCAGCACACUAAUUUUGUCACUUACAAUACUUGAAACAUCAGAGGUUGGUCUACUUUCCGUUGAUUGCAAAAAACAUUAGGUUACAAUUGUAGUCUGUGAAGGCUUAAUUUAGUUUCAAAACAUUCUGGUAAACAUUAGAAUAAAAUUUUGCACAAUAUAAUUAGUGAAUACUGCUUACCUGUUCC